CCUACGGGAGGCAGCAGUGGGGAAUAUUGGACAAUGGGCGCAAGCCUGAUCCAGCCAUGCCGCGUGGGUGAAGAAGGCCUUAGGGUUGUAAACCCCUUUCAGCGGGGAAGAUAAUGACGGUACCCGCAGAAGAAGUCCCGGCUAACUCCGUGCCAGCAGCCGCGGUAAUACGGAGGGGACUAGCGUUGUUCGGAAUUACUGGGCGUAAAGCGCACGUAGGCGGAUUUGUAAGUCAGGGGUGAAAUCCCGAGGCUCAACCUCGGAACUGCCUUUGAUACUGCAAAUCUCGAGUCCGGAAGAGGUGAGUGGAAUUCCUAGUGUAGAGGUGAAAUUCGUAGAUAUUAGGAAGAACACCAGUGGCGAAGGCGGCUCACUGGUCCGGUACUGACGCUGAGGUGCGAAAGCGUGGGGAGCAAACAGGAUUAGAUACCCGAGUAGUC
rnacentral:rRNA from 1 species